AUUGAACGCUGGCGGCAUGCCUUACACAUGCAAGUCGAACGGUAACAGGUCUUCGGAUGCUGACGAGUGGCGAACGGGUGAGUAAUACAUCGGAACGUGCCUAGUAGUGGGGGAUAACUACUCGAAAGAGUGGCUAAUACCGCAUGAGAUCUACGGAUGAAAGCAGGGGAUCGCAAGACCUUGUGCUACUAGAGCGGCCGAUGGCAGAUUAGGUAGUUGGUGGGAUAAAAGCUUACCAAGCCGACGAUCUGUAGCUGGUCUGAGAGGACGAUCAGCCACACUGGGACUGAGACACGGCCCAGACUCCUACGGGAGGCAGCAGUGGGGAAUUUUGGACAAUGGGCGCAAGCCUGAUCCAGCAAUGCCGCGUGCAGGGUGAAGGCCUUCGGGUUGUAAACUGCUUUUGUACGGAACGAAAAGCCCUGGGUUAAUACCCUGGGGUCAUGACGGUACCUCAGGAGAAAGCACCGGCUAAUUCUGCGCCAGCCGCCGCGGUAACAC
rnacentral:rRNA from 1 species